rnacentral:tRNA from 1 species
ACUAUUUUGGCAGAUGUUAGUGCGAUAAAUUUAGAAUUUAUUAAUGUAAUUUUAAUUACAAAUAGUA